rnacentral:rRNA from 1 species
GGGUUGUGAGGUUAAGCGACUAAGCGUACACGGUGGAUGCCCUGGCAGUCAGAGGCGAUGAAGGACGUGCUAAUCUGCGAUAAGCGUCGGUGAGGUGAUAUGAACCGUUAUAACCGGCGAUUUCCGAAUGGGGAAACCCAGUGUGUUUCGACACACUAUCAUUAACUGAAUCCAUAGGUUAAUGAGGCGAACCGGGGGAACUGAAACAUCUAAGUACCCCGAGGAAAAGAAAUCAACCGAGAUUCCCCCAGUAGCGGCGAGCGAACGGGGAGGAGCCCAGAGCCUGAAUCAGUGUGUGUGUUAGUGGAAGCGUCUGGAAAGGCGCGCGAUACAGGGUGACAGCCCCGUACACAAAAAUGCACAUAUUGUGAGCUCGAUGAGUAGGGCGGGACACGUGGUAUCCUGUCUGAAUAUGGGGGGACCAUCCUCCAAGGCUAAAUACUCCUGACUGACCGAUAGUGAACCAGUACCGUGAGGGAAAGGCGAAAAGAACCCCGGCGAGGGGAGUGAAAAAGAACCUGAAACCGUGUACGUACAAGCAGUGGGAGCCUCUUAAUGGGGUGACUGCGUACCUUUUGUAUAAUGGGUCAGCGACUUAUAUUCUGUAGCAAGGUUAACCGAAUAGGGGAGCCGAAGGGAAACCGAGUCUUAACUGGGCGUUAAGUUGCAGGGUAUAGACCCGAAACCCGGUGAUCUAGCCAUGGGCAGGUUGAAGGUUGGGUAACACUAACUGGAGGACCGAACCGACUAAUGUUGAAAAAUUAGCGGAUGACUUGUGGCUGGGGGUGAAAGGCCAAUCAAACCGGGAGAUAGCUGGUUCUCCCCGAAAGCUAUUUAGGUAGCGCCUCGUGAAUUCAUCUCCGGGGGUAGAGCACUGUUUCGGCAAGGGGGUCAUCCCGACUUACCAACCCGAUGCAAACUGCGAAUACCGGAGAAUGUUAUCACGGGAGACACACGGCGGGUGCUAACGUCCGUCGUGAAGAGGGAAACAACCCAGACCGCCAGCUAAGGUCCCAAAGUCAUGGUUAAGUGGGAAACGAUGUGGGAAGGCCCAGACAGCCAGGAUGUUGGCUUAGAAGCAGCCAUCAUUUAAAGAAAGCGUAAUAGCUCACUGGUCGAGUCGGCCUGCGCGGAAGAUGUAACGGGGCUAAACCAUGCACCGAAGCUGCGGCAGCGACACUAUGUGUUGUUGGGUAGGGGAGCGUUCUGUAAGCCUGUGAAGGUGGCCUGUGAGGGUUGCUGGAGGUAUCAGAAGUGCGAAUGCUGACAUAAGUAACGAUAAAGCGGGUGAAAAGCCCGCUCGCCGGAAGACCAAGGGUUCCUGUCCAACGUUAAUCGGGGCAGGGUGAGUCGACCCCUAAGGCGAGGCCGAAAGGCGUAGUCGAUGGGAAACAGGUUAAUAUUCCUGUACUUGGUGUUACUGCGAAGGGGGGACGGAGAAGGCUAUGUUGGCCGGGCGACGGUUGUCCCGGUUUAAGCGUGUAGGCUGGUUUUCCAGGCAAAUCCGGAAAAUCAAGGCUGAGGCGUGAUGACGAGGCACUACGGUGCUGAAGCGACAAAUGCCCUGCUUCCAGGAAAAGCCUCUAAGCAUCAGGUAACAUCAAAUCGUACCCCAAACCGACACAGGUGGUCAGGUAGAGAAUACCAAGGCGCUUGAGAGAACUCGGGUGAAGGAACUAGGCAAAAUGGUGCCGUAACUUCGGGAGAAGGCACGCUGAUAUGUAGGUGAAGCGACUUGCUCGUGGAGCUGAAAUCAGUCGAAGAUACCAGCUGGCUGCAACUGUUUAUUAAAAACACAGCACUGUGCAAACACGAAAGUGGACGUAUACGGUGUGACGCCUGCCCGGUGCCGGAAGGUUAAUUGAUGGGGUUAGCGGUAACGCGAAGCUCUUGAUCGAAGCCCCGGUAAACGGCGGCCGUAACUAUAACGGUCCUAAGGUAGCGAAAUUCCUUGUCGGGUAAGUUCCGACCUGCACGAAUGGCGUAAUGAUGGCCAGGCUGUCUCCACCCGAGACUCAGUGAAAUUGAACUCGCUGUGAAGAUGCAGUGUACCCGCGGCAAGACGGAAAGACCCCGUGAACCUUUACUAUAGCUUGACACUGAACAUUGAGCCUUGAUGUGUAGGAUAGGUGGGAGGCUUUGAAGUGUGGACGCCAGUCUGCAUGGAGCCGACCUUGAAAUACCACCCUUUAAUGUUUGAUGUUCUAACGUGGGCCCCUUACCGGGGUUGCGGACAGUGUCUGGUGGGUAGUUUGACUGGGGCGGUCUCCUCCUAAAGAGUAACGGAGGAGCACGAAGGUUGGCUAAUCCUGGUCGGACAUCAGGAGGUUAGUGCAAUGGCAUAAGCCAGCUUGACUGCGAGCGUGACGGCGCGAGCAGGUGCGAAAGCAGGUCAUAGUGAUCCGGUGGUUCUGAAUGGAAGGGCCAUCGCUCAACGGAUAAAAGGUACUCCGGGGAUAACAGGCUGAUACCGCCCAAGAGUUCAUAUCGACGGCGGUGUUUGGCACCUCGAUGUCGGCUCAUCACAUCCUGGGGCUGAAGUAGGUCCCAAGGGUAUGGCUGUUCGCCAUUUAAAGUGGUACGCGAGCUGGGUUUAGAACGU